AGAGUUUGAUCAUGGCUCAGGAUGAACGCUGGCGGCGUGCCUAACACAUGCAAGUCGAGCGAUUCUCUUCGGAGAAGAGCGGCGGACGGGUGAGUAACGCGUGGGUAACCUGCCCUGUACACACGGAUAACAUACCGAAAGGUAUGCUAAUACGGGAUAAUGUACUUUUGUCGCAUGGCAGAAGUAUCAAAGCUCCGGCGGUACAGGAUGGACCCGCGUCUGAUUAGCUAGUUGGAGAGGUAAUGGCUCACCAAGGCAACGAUCAGUAGCCGACCUGAGAGGGUGAUCGGCCACAUUGGAACUGAGACACGGUCCAAACUCCUACGGGAGGCAGCAGUGGGGAAUAUUGCACAAUGGGCGAAAGCCUGAUGCAGCAACGCCGCGUGAGCGAUGAAGGCCUUCGGGUCGUAAAGCUCUGUCCUCAAGGAAGAUAAUGACGGUACUUGAGGAGGAAGCCCCGGCUAACUACGUGCCAGCAGCCGCGGUAAUACGUAGGGGGCUAGCGUUAUCCGGAAUUACUGGGCGUAAAGGGUGCGUAGGUGGUUUCUUAAGUCAGAGGUGAAAGGCUACGGCUCAACCGUAGUAAGCCUUUGAAACUGAGAAACUUGAGUGCAGGAGAGGAGAGUAGAAUUCCUAGUGUAGCGGUGAAAUGCGUAGAUAUUAGGAGGAAUACCAGUUGCGAAGGCGGCUCUCUGGACUGUAACUGACACUGAGGCACGAAAGCGUGGGGAGCAAACAGGAUUAGAUACCCUGGUAGUCCACGCCGUAAACGAUGAGUACUAGGUGUCGGGGGUUACCCCCCUCGGUGCCGCAGCUAACGCAUUAAGUACUCCGCCUGGGAAGUACGCUCGCAAGAGUGAAACUCAAAUGAAUUGAC
rnacentral:rRNA from 1 species